AUCAAGAUUAACAGCUGGUUCUAUCUCAACAUCUUUAUCUGGUUCUUUAUCAUUUAUUUGAGUGUCUUCCUGAACCUCAUCAUUAUCUUUUUCAUUAUGAGAAGGUGUGUCUUCAUUAAAAGAUUGAGUUUCAGCAUCAGAGAUAGAAACUUCAUUAUCAUUAUCAGGAGUUUUUCUAUUUCAGGUUCACUAGAGGCACGCCAAGUCCUAUUAUUUUUCAUCUUCCUUUUCUUUUUAGAAGGACUAGGUG
rnacentral:lncRNA from 1 species